rnacentral:rRNA from 1 species
AGAGUGAACGCUGGCGGUAGGCCUAACACAUGCAAGUCGAACGGCAGCACAGUGGUAGCAAUACCAUGGGUGGCGAGUGGCGGACGGGUGAGGAAUACAUCGGAAUCUACCUUUUCGUGGGGGAUAACGUAGGGAAACUUACGCUAAUACCGCAUACGCCCUUCGGGGGAAAGCCGGGGAUCGCAAGACCUGGCGCGGAUAGAUGAGCCGAUGUCGGAUUAGCUAGUUGGUGAGGUAAUGGCUCACCAAGGCGACGAUCCGUAGCUGGUCUGAGAGGAUGAUCAGCCACACUGGAACUGAGACACGGUCCAGACUCCUACGGGAGGCAGCAGUGGGGAAUAUUGGACAAUGGGCGAAAGCCUGAUCCAGCCAUGCCGCGUGUGUGAAGAAGGUCUUCGGAUUGUAAAGCAACUUUAAGUUGGGAGGAAGGGCAUUAAACCUAAUAACGUAUCUUGUUUUGACGUUACUGAACAGAAAUAAGACACCGGACUAACUACUGUGACC